GAUGAAGAACGCAGCGAAAUGCGAUAAGUAGUGUGAAUUGCAGAAUUCAGUGAAUCACCGAAUCUUUGAACGCACAUUGCGCCCUUUGGUAUUCCAAAGGGCAUGCCUGUUCGAGCGUCAUUUGUACCCUCAAGCUUUGCUUGGUGUUGGGCGUCUUGUCUCUAGCUUUGCUGGAGACUCGCCUUAAAGUAAUUGGCAGCCGGCCUACUGGUUUCGGAGCGCAACACAAGUCGCACUCUCUAUCAGCAAAGGUCUAGCAUCCAUUAAGCCUUUUUUUCAACUUUUGACCUCGGAUCAGGUAGGGAUACCCGCUGAACUUAAGCAUAUCAAUAAGCGGAGGA
rnacentral:misc_RNA from 1 species